rnacentral:rRNA from 1 species
GACGAACGCUGGCGGCGUGCUUAACACAUGCAAGUCGAACGGAAAGGCCCUGCUUUUGUUGGGUGCUCGAUUGGCGAACGGGUGAGUAACACGUGAGUAACCUGCCCUUGACUUUGUGAUAACUUCAGGAAACUGGGGCUCAUACCGGAUAGGAUCUCCUGCUGCAUGGUGUGGGUUGGAAAGUUUCGGCGUUUGGGUAUGGACUCGCAGCUUAUCAGCUUGUUGGGUGGGUAGUGGCUUACCAAGGCUUUGACGGGUAGCCGGCCUGAGCGGGUGAACGGCCACAUUGGGACUGAGAUACGGACCAGAAUCCUACGGGAGGCAGCAGGGGGGAAUAUUGCACAAUGGGCGGAAGCCUGAUGCAGCAACGCCGGGUGCGGGAUGACGGCCUUCGGGUUGUAAACAGCUUUCGCCUGUGACGAAGCGUGAGUGACGGUAAUGGGUAAAGAAGCACCGGCUAACUACGUG